GUGCGUAUGAAGUAGUGGUUAACUUGCCGGUCUCCGACCUCAUCGUUAGAGAGCCGGAAAUCCUGGGUUCGAAUCCCAGUGCGCACU